ACACGUGGUCACAUGUGUUUAGUGAUGGACAGUAUUUUAAAAGAUAUGCUGAGUGUAAUGGAGACACACAUUGACUUUGAGAGACUAUUAGAAGAAUUAGGAUCAGAAGCAACCAAUCUACCUGAUAUAUCACAAGGUAUACAGUCACGUGACACUACUCAUUGAUCACGUGAUCACAGGUUGGUCUAAUGGUUUGAGAUGAGUGAUAGAUCAUCAAGCAAUGAGUCUGUCUCAGUCUCCAGAGACGUUUGGUACAUGGCUACUGAUUAAUAAACUAAAAGAAACAAAUGAUGAUAAGGUGAUUGAUGGGGUGAUUAGUGUGGGCGUGGUAUUACGAGAUUUGAUGUAUAUUAAUCAU